AACGACUCUCGACAACGGAUAUCUCGGCUCUCGCAUCGAUGAAGAACGUAGCGAAAUGCGAUACUUGGUGUGAAUUGCAGAAUCCCGUGAACCAUCGAGUCUUUGAACGCAAGUUGCGCCCGAAGCCAAUAGGCCGAGGGCACGUUUGCCUGGGUGUCAUGCA
rnacentral:rRNA from 1 species